rnacentral:rRNA from 1 species
AUUGAACGCUGGCGGCAGGCCUAAUACAUGCAAGUCGAACGAGUGGCGGACGGGUGAGUAGUGUCUGGGAAAGUGCGUGAUGGAGGGGGAUAACUACUGGAAACCGUAGCUAAUACCGCAUACCAUCGGAUGUGCCCAGAUGGGAUUAGCUUGUUGGUGGGGUAACGGCUCACCAAGGCGACGAUCCCUAGCUGGUCUGAGAGGGUGACCGGCCACACUGGAACUGAGACACGGUCCAGACUCCUACGGGAGGCAGCAGUGGGGAAUAUUGCACAAUGGGCGCAAGCCUGAUGCAGCCAUGCCGCGUGUAUGAAGAAGGCCUUCGGGUUGUAAAGUACUUUCAGCGGGGAGGCGUUACCCGCAGAAGAAGCCCCGGCUAACUCCGUGCCAGCAGCCGCGGUAAUUC